rnacentral:snoRNA from 15 species
ACCUCCCACAAAGGCGUGUCUGUGGCUUCCCAUCCAUAGAUACGUAAGAACUGGAGGCAAAGAAAUGAGGAUUAGGAAAAGUUCAAGACUGGCUUACUCAACCCUUGCUGGUCUAGGACUUCCUGUCCAACAAUA